GCUACAACUGCUGGCAGUCUUCCAGCGUGGGACGGACAGCGGUGACGCCAGAGGUCUCGGUGAGCCUUCGAGCGAGGUGGCUUUGACACGUGUCAGUGUGUAUCUGGGCCUUACUUGUUCCCACAUGCGAAUGUGCGAAGGCAAGCUGAGCUUCCCCGAGAAGACCCUGGAAGCCCACCGACUCUGAAUCUCGGACACUGGCAGGAGGGCUCCGAUGGGUUGAGCAAGACCAAUGAGGGCCAGUCCGGGAAGAUCCGGAGGGAACACCAGGCGGGAGGAGAAGCAAAAAGCUUUCGAAUACUCAUCGGUGAAGUAGAAGAAGAGAAAGCAGCAACUGCGGCACAUAAGAAUCUCCUUUGACGAUGAAGAAGAAGAAUUUGACGAACCGCACUUCUGUCUUCGAGAAGCCUAUUCCUAUCACCUUGGGGGUCUGAGGGGCAUUUGAGCUCCCAUUUACGAUCCUGUAUGAUCCAACUCACCUUGUCUUACUUCCCACUGUGUUGACAAACGGGGUGGAAACUACGGCUUGGACAAAUACUGUGUACUCACUUCGUCAAACAGCAAAACGGUUGAGAGACAAAAACACAAUAUGACAGCGAAGUGAUAGCAACCCUUUAGGAAUGUCACAGACCUACAAGUUGGCGGUUGAAGAAAGAAUGACGCACCUAUAUUUGCGGGUGCGUGCAGCGAGUGUGCCUA